rnacentral:rRNA from 1 species
UACGAAGGGUGCAAGCGUUACUCGGAAUUACUGGGCGUAAAGCGUGCGUAGGUGGUCUGUUAAGUCUGAUGUGAAAGCCCUGGGCUCAACCUGGGAAUUGCAUUGGAUACUGGCAGGCUAGAGUGCGGUAGAGGGUAGUGGAAUUCCCGGUGUAGCAGUGAAAUGCGUAGAGAUCCGGAGGAACACCAGCGGCGAAGGCGGCAUCCUGGACUGGUCCUGACACUCAUGAGCGAAAGCGUGGGGAGCGAUCCGG